CAGCAGCCGCGGUAAUACGGAGGGGGCUAGCGUCGUUCGGAAUUACUGGGCGUAAAGCGCACGUAGGCGGCUUUGUAAGUUAGAGGUGAAAGCCUGGGGCUCAACUCCAGAAUUGCCUUUAAGACUGCAUCGCUUGAACGUCGGAGAGGUGAGUGGAAUUCCGAGUGUAGAGGUGAAAUUCGUAGAUAUUCGGAAGAACACCAGUGGCGAAGGCGGCUCACUGGACGACUGUUGACGCUGAGGUGCGAAAGCGUGGGGAGCAAACAGGAUUAGAUACCCGCGUAGUCCCUGUCUCUUAUAC
rnacentral:rRNA from 1 species